CUUGCUGGUGGGCACCGCUCCAUCGCUAAAGAGUUUAUACCGAGACAACUAGUCAGCCAUCCCCCAUCCCCUACUGUACUUCUUACUCCACAGCGUCUCCUCCCCCGAUCCUCUCCAAGCACAAAGUUGGUUGAAACGGGAGCACGUGAGCGAAACGACAAGCAGAAGAGAACAUGUCCCUUGUUCCCCACACGCAAGAGCUGCAGCGGGAGGUGGAGGCGUUGCAGCAGCUGCGCCGCUCACUGCAUGACGCCUACAUCGUUGAAGACAAGGCGGGCCAUCGCCCAGUGAAGAACGUGAGGAAGCCGCUGCAGCCCAUUGAUAUGCGCCGCACUGUGGACGCGCCUACCUUGAGCGUGCUCAAGUCUCCCAACUACCCCUUCACCCUUUGCGAGGAGGCGCCGCCGUCGUACGUGCCACCGCCGGUGCCGUACGACGUCGAGGGCGAAAUCGACUCUCUGAAGCAACGUGUGCUGCAGGUGCAGGAGGACUUCCAAAGUUACCAGAAGCGGCACAGCCGCGGCGGUACGCCACUGUCGGCCUCGCAGGUGCUUGACUUCUUUAGCCAAAACAAGGCCUACGCCGAGAUCGCGUGGGAGGUGUCGUCUAUGCAGUGGUUCUACCGUUGGGUCCUCUCGCACUCGAUCAGUCACCUUUGGAACUGCAAGGAGCAGCUCGAGUACGUUCUCACCGACCACGGCGAAAGCCUGCCGCAGGCGGUGGAGGAGAUGGACGCGUGCCUCCAAGCGUAUCCUUUUGCCGCCGCCGUCUCGAUUCUUGACAGCGACCGGCAAGCGGUAGUGGCGCAGGAGCGUCGCCGUUUGCGAUCCGUUAGCCGCAUUUUCCGUGAGAACGUGCCGUCGAUUGCGGUGACGGCAGCCACGAGCUGCUACCUCACCCCGGAGGAGAAGUACAUGUACCAAGAGUUCUUCAACCAAUCGGAGCACAUGAUUCUGCUACUCAACCACACCUUGUUGCUCAACGAGGCCAACAGCGCAUCCGCUGCGGCGCUACAGUCUCACACAGAGAGCGCGAGCCGUGGCUUGCUGUUCAACUCGCAGAGCCGAGCCCACGGCUACUUGCAGGACAGCGAUGCGCUUUCCCUGCCGAGCGAGCCCACCAUUGGUGUGAUGGACACUGCCAGUCUUACCAAGGAGACUCUAAAUGCCGUAGCUGCCGAGCAGGAAAUGAUAGCAGCUCUGAUGAAGGCGAUCCGCGAGCGUCAGCAGCGCGGCGAGUGUUUUGAGGUGUCAGCGGCCGAGGGCGAGCGCACCCGUGCGGCUCAGGUCGCCGUCUACGGCUGCGUGCUAAGCGAUAUGAGUCUCAUGGCGCACCAGAUGAACCUCACUGUCGAGUUCAUGGAGCACUACGAGUCGUGGCUAAAGCUGCACGGGUACGACUCUCAUGAUCAGCUGAUGAAUGCGCUGUCGAAGCGCAGUGGUGGCACGGCGUGGCCGACGCUUAGCAUUUAUGGCGAAUACGGGGCCGCGGACGGACACGAUCACUUUGUGCCGCCGACAGAGUCCAUGAUGCGCUAUUACCGCCCACGAGAGAAGGCGCCGAGGGAGGCUGUAGAUGCCAAGGGCAAAAACCCCUCCAGCGAGACGUGCAAACCUGUUGGCCGCAGCAUGGCUCCUUCAGGAGGUGACUCUGGUGGCAGUGCCGGCUCCUUCCCAUCUGCACCCUUGGCGGCGGCCCCUUCGAAGGCGGCGGCGGCGGCGAACGUUGUGAAUGAGCACAUGGUUGUCUCUCCAGCGUCCGUGCCUAUCUCCGCGUGGCAGGAGACGGACAGCGAGGUGGCGAACGCCUUUUACGCUCUUCUCAUCCACGCCAACGAGGCGGUGCGCAAGAGUCGUGCGGCCGUUGCCGAGAAGGACGACGCCGUCGAGCGCACGUGGCUGACCGCGUGCAUGCGCUACGCUGUCAUCAAGAUGCUUCGCCGUGAUUGGUGCGCCGCUGACGUGGCCAAGGGUAUGCUCACCGCAGAAGAGGCCCUGCUCGCCGUGGUGGGCCGCAAGGGUGCUUUCUCUUGCAUGAAGUCCACAGCCGCGGCGCUCUGCGUCGUGGUGAAGGAGGUGGCGCGGCUGUGUGCUGCCCGCAGCUCGCCGCCCUCCCUCGUUGCCGAGGUGCCUGUUGCGGUGCACAUACCGGACGAUGUGGACAACUACGCGAAGGUGGUGACAGACGUGACGAACCCGGUGGAGCAGCAGCGGUGGGGCUCUUUGUUGGACGCCGUAUGGUUCCAGGCGGACCCCUCGUCUGCCUCAUGCGGCGGUCUCUUGUUUCACCCGAUGUCGGCGGACGGCGAGUUGACGGGCCCGAUACCGUGUAACAAACAGAGCGCCCUUCAUUUUCUGUACAUUGAGGCCAUUUGCAUGCCGCCUACUGCAGUGGCCAGUGGCGUGGUCUCCGUGGCGUUGCGCUAUCGCAUACCUCGCAUGUCACCGGCGGCGGACACGAGUCGGCGUGUGGCACCGACGCUGGCAGCCGUGUCUGACGCACAGCCGUCGAGCAGAGGUGGCCUCUCUCGCUACCACCUCGCGCGUCGCGUGCUGAUGGCGCUGUUUGAAAUAGAGGCAAAGGGCCUUCUGCCCUGUUUUGCGUGCCGCGUUUCGGAGGUGAGCGUGGUGCCUCUUGUUCAGAUGGUCUACGUCGCCUUUGAUGACGGAAACACGAGUUCUGUGGUGGACAAGGGCCAUGUGCCGCACCUGUGCAUGCUGCCGCCCGCGGCAAUGGAGCUGAAGCGUAUGGACAUCAGAGUAGGGGCGGCGCCGGCACCAAAGCACCUGACCGAUGCGCUUUACGCCGCCUACGCCGAGCCCGUCAACUUUAGCUCAAUUGGACUGCUUGUUGGUGGUGCUUUAGAGGACAUGGCUUCUCGCGCGCCAACUCUGCACGACCUUUACAUGACCGCCGCCACGGUUCUGGAACAGGCGACCUUCGAUGUCAAGAGUGGCGCAACACCCAAGGCGUUCGCGAAUGCGAGCACGCACCCGACUCCGAUUGCGUGUGCGCCAGCGAAAACGCGCGCCAUGAGCAUUCAGCGUGAGCCAGUCAUAAACCGCAAUUCUACCUCGAUUGGGCGCUUCAUCUCGCCGCUUCUGCGUCACAUAGAUGACAGGAUUUCUUCUUGGGAGUUCGGCGACGGCAUAAGCAGCGUCGGCGGUGUGUCGAACAACGCAAGCACCAACACCCAGUCCUCGGUGUGGACGCAGCGUGAUGCGGCAGCACCAGAGCCGGCGUCUUUGACUGGUCGCCAGACCGAACUGGUCGGCCGCAUCGACACGGCAUCGCCGUCUCCAUCGGCGGUGCGGCCCAACCGGCGCUAAGCAGAAGGCGUGUAAGAGCCCGUAUGCGGACUCGCUCCUCUUCCUUUUUGUUUGUUUGUGUGUGCGUGUGUGCGUGUCCUUUUCUCUCCUUGUCCUCCGUACUUCUCUCGAUCUUGUUGGGUUGCUUCGUAUUGAGAAGUCGGCUUGUGGUGGGCGAAUGCCUCUCUCCCCGCGUUUGUGUGUGCACGUGCCGGUGGGUUGGACGUUUCCGUCGUUACCAGCAACGACAGUGCAUGGUAACCGGUGUGGAGGACGCAUGGCUGAAGAUGCCGUGGCGAUAGCCAUCUGGAAGGGCGAGUCGACGUGGGGAGGGUCUGGAGAGUGCAGGUGUCAAAAUAUGAAGGAACGGGGGUGUCAUAACUGCCUAGAUGGCGAUGCUGGGAUGAAGUGAGGUGCAGUGUGAUGGCAUGACCCUUUCCCUCUUGCAUUCUUGUACACGCAGACACGGGUCGAUCCAGCUGCUACUGCUGCUUUCUGCUUUCCGUUGCCUCUGGCACACAGUCUCCUUCUCUCACACGUUUUCGUGCGCUCUUUCGCGUACUCUCUGCACACAACGACCACCACGACUGCUAGUCUCUUCCCGCCCGACCGCUCCUUCUCCGUCGUGCACUGUGCCACUGUUGUUGUUGAUGUCUUGGUUGUAGUAGAGUAGCUCAUCAUGUUAUCUGUCUUUGUUUUGCCAUUUCUUUAUCAUUUAUGUUGUCGUCGUCUUUUUGCGACUCUCGUCUCUGCAGGGCGGAGGGGGUGUGACCGCUUGCUUUGUACGAUGCACCCCCCCUCCCCCCACACGCACAGACACACGCACAUAUAUAUAUGUACAUACAUAUAUGUGCGUGCUUCUCGAGUGAAGUUAGAUUCUUCUCCGCUCUUGUGUCUUCUACAUGUUUCUCCCUUCUUUUCCCUCUUCCUCGUGGCUCGCCCUUCUUUGUUGUGCGAUGUGAUGGCAUGUGUACCGGUAGCGCUGCGCUCGUGCUUGUACCGUUGGAUUCAUUCUUCCUUUGUUCGUUCUGUUCUUGCUCACCCUCCACCCCCAUCAUCCCUCCGCCUCUCUUUCCCCCGAGCGCCUCACCAGUCGCGUUGGCCAACGGCUCUUUGAAGCGUUUCUGAUGCUCUCGGGAAAGCUGUAAGAGCUCGAGCGGCUGUUAAGCAACAAAGAAGGAGGUGCGCUUGCAUCGUCGCCUGCGUUGAGGAGGGGAAGAUGAAUUGCAGCAAAUCGUCAUCGUUUCCGGCGUGUGUGUGCGUGCACGUGUACGCCCCCCCUCCCCCCCCCCAAGCAUCAGCAGUGUGCAGGCGAACCAGCACAAAAGCAGAGAGCUUCUCAAGCGAUUCUUGGACUCCCCGUUAGGUCUCCGUAUCAGGGUGCGAGGAUGGUGAGGAUGUGGGUGGUGGAACGCCCCUGACCACCGACCGAUAUGCACACACACACACUUUUUCUGCUUGUGCACCCGCUCGCCGCGCUGUUUUGUUUUUGCGUAUUUCAUGUAUUACUCCGGGAUGGCACUCCGUAUUUUCGCAGUGCCAAGAUGGCCGAACAUUCUUCAAAAAGAAAAGGCACCGAGCCCAGAGGCACGCGUGUACCGUCUCGCUGAGUGGUGUGCUUCGCCGCACCGAAUACAAUAUGUGGGAUACGAUGGAGGGUGAGGUGUUGGGGGGAGGUGGGGGCCAGGCCGGCAGCAGUGGAUACGAGAGGGUCUGCCAACUCAUCGUGAUUGCCGCUUUCGGUGUGCUUCUCCACCUUCGCGAUACUUUGCUUCUCGACCCACUUCACAUUUUGCAUUGCUUCCUGCUGCCGAAUGGCAUGGCAAAACGCUCGCGCGUACGUUUCCAUUCAUUUUAUGCGCGGCUGUCUGAUCCCUCUCAUUCUCUGGGCGCCCCGUAUCUUUGCCGCGAGUUUUGCGAAGGAUAGUCUCGCGGACUCGAUCUUCCUUCUCUCCCCCCCGAAGAGAGAUCCAGUCGCGAGAAACGGUAUGCAUGAAGCUGUUGUAGCAUAUUUUCUCGUGUGUGACGCUUUCCUUUUUUUUUGUAG
rnacentral:misc_RNA from 1 species